rnacentral:rRNA from 1 species
CGGCGGACGGGUGAGUAACGCGUGGGUAACCUGCCUCAUACAGGGGGAUAACAGUUAGGAAUGGCUGCUAAUACCGCAUAAGACCACAGUACUGCAUGGUACAGUGGUAAAAACUCCGGUGGUAUGAGAUGGACCCGCGUCUGAUUAGGUAGUUGGUGAGGUAACGGCCCACCAAGCCGACGAUCAGUAGCCGACCUGAGAGGGUGACCGGCCACAUUGGGACUGAGACACGGCCCAGACUCCUACGGGAGGCAGCAUG